CCAAGCCAACAUCAACCCCUUUCUUCCUCCCCAAAUUUCCAUUUCAGCUAAGGCUUUUAGGACAAACGCAUCAAGACUGUGGGGAGCAGCUCUCAGCCAGGGUGCUAGCCCAGGGUGCCUGUGAUUCAGCGACCACUGCCCCCUCAAAAGAGUCCUCAGGAACACAGAAAGACCCAUGGAACAUCUCCUGCCACUGGAAAUGAAGCUGCCUGGGACCCAGAAACCAGAAAUGGGACUAAAGUCUUGAAUUCUCACCUCCACCCUGUCACUGAACACCUAGGCAACCUCUUGUGAGCCCUCUGGACUUCCUCCAUGGAAUAAGAGAAAAGGCCUUCACGAUGACCACCCUUCCUCCUGUGAUUAAUGAGGGUGUCUUGGGUGUAUUUCAGAAAUAAUAGAACACAUUAGA